GAUGAACGCUGGCGGCGUGCUUAACACAUGCAAGUCGAACGAUGAAGCCCAGCUUGCUGGGUGGAUUAGUGGCGAACGGGUGAGUAACACGUGAGUAACCUGCCCUUAACUCUGGGAUAAGCCUGGGAAACUGGGUCUAAUACCGGAUAGGAGCGUCCACCGCAUGGUGGGUGUUGGAAAGAUUUAUCGGUUUUGGAUGGACUCGCGGCCUAUCAGCUUGUUGGUGAGGUAAUGGCUCACCAAGGCGACGACGGGUAGCCGGCCUGAGAGGGUGACCGGCCACACGGGGACUGAGACACGGCCCAGACUCCUAGGGGAGGCAGCGGGGGGGAAUUUUGCACAAGGGGCGAAAGCCUGAUGCAGGGACGCCGGGUGGGGGAUGAGGGCCUUGGGGUUGAAAACCUCUUUAAGUAGGGAAGAAGCGAAAGGGACGGUACCGGAAGAAGAAGCCCCGGCUAACUACGU
rnacentral:rRNA from 1 species